GGGUACUCAACCCUUACAAUUCAAGAAUAAUCACAUUAAAUACAAUCAAAGCAAGCUAAUGGAUUAUUGCACCAUUCUGAGAAAAUAACAUUAACAUCACUACCUCGGCCUAUGAACCAAAACCAAGAAAUAUAAAUAAUUUGGUCCACUAAAGUAGCUAUAUUAACAUGUUCACCUUUAAAUAAUAUAUUAUUGCGCAUACG
rnacentral:lncRNA from 1 species